rnacentral:rRNA from 1 species
UACGAAGGGGGCUAGCGUUGCUCGGAAUCACUGGGCGUAAAGGGUGCGUAGGCGGGUCUUUAAGUCAGGGGUGAAAUCCUGGAGCUCAACUCCAGAACUGCCUUUGAUACUGAGGAUCUUGAGUUCGGGAGAGGUGAGUGGAACUGCGAGUGUAGAGGUGAAAAUUCGUAGAUAUUCGCAAGAACACCGGUGGCGAAGGCGGCCAUCUGGACGACAACUGACG